GUUACACAGCACGGACACUGGAGACUCCUUCCGUAAUUUUCCAUCCGCCGUACGAGACCCUGUGAAGGGGCCGUUACUAUAGAAACGAUAACGUAUUAGUACGGGCGCGUUAAUAUAAAUGUGUGAUUCGGGGCUGCGGGGUAUUUAUUCCUCUCAGCACUUGAAGAAAACAUGACUCGCUGUCCUCCGGCCGUCUUCAAUUCUGCAGUAAUUGGCUUCAGGCCUCAGAUUGGCUUUAAUUAAUGUAGCAUGUCUGGCAUGACGCGGAGGGGAAAAAAAGAUCUGAAGAAGUCCGCUUGUCAUGGUGGGAACGAGGGAUUAUCCGUGUUGUUUGUAUGUAUGUCCUUAAUUAAAAUAGAUCAUCUUCCAAAAGCAAUAAGAGAGACAAAUUGCUUUGGCAUGAAGCUGGUGGUGGCAGAGACGCGGGCUGACAACCAACAGGUGGAGCUCCAAUCCCUUCAUAUUCUAAGUAAAUCCCACAGAGAGGUGUUGGUUAGAGUGAGAGAGCUGAUGUUUUUCCUCUCCAGUGGUCACAUGAUUUCAUCUCCUCUCUUCCUGCUGGUGUCUCUGAGGCCGCGUCCCUGCUCCGGUCAGUCUCGGGGGAAACGCAGCCCUGCAGAACACCACACAUCUUAUUGAGGCCAGUUUUACUAAUAAAAUGUAUGUGUGCA